rnacentral:rRNA from 1 species
UACGUAGGGUGCGAGCGUUGUCCGGAUUUAUUGGGCGUAAAGAGCUCGUAGGCGGCUUGUCGCGUCGGAUGUGAAAGCCCGGGCUUAACUCCGGGUCUGCAUUCGAUACGGGCAGGCUAGAGUUCGGUAGGGGAGACUGGAAUUCCUGGUGUAGCGGUGAAAUGCGCAGAUAUCAGGAGGAACACCGAUGGCGAAGGCAGGUCUCUGGGCCGAUACUGACGCUGAGGAGCGAAAGCGUGGGGAGCGAACAGG